rnacentral:rRNA from 1 species
AGUGGCGAAAGGGGCAGUAAGGCGUGGAUAACCUACCCUGGGGACUGGGAUAGCCUUCCUAACGGAAGGGUAAUACUGGGCGAUCUGACGGGACGACAUCUUCCUGUCAGGAAAUGAAUUUCGCCUCGGGAGGGGUCCACGUGCUAUUAGCUUGUUGGCGGGGUAACGGCCCACCAAGGCGAAGAUGGCUAGCGGGUGUGAGAGCACGACCCGCGCCACUGGCACUGAGACACUGGCCAGACUCCUACGGGAGGCUGCAGUCGAGGAUCUUCGGCAAUGGGCGCAAGCCUGACCGAGCGACGCCGCGUGUGCGAUGAAGGCCUUCGGGUUGUAAAGCACUGUCGAGGGGGAGAAAGCCGCAAGGUUGAUCGACCCCUGGAGGAAGCACGGGCUAAGUUCGUGCCAGCAGCCGCGGUAAGACGAACCGUGCGAACGUUGUUCGGAAUCACUGGGCUUAAAGGGCGCGUAGGCGGGUGGCCAAGUCGGUGGUGAAAUCCUCCAGCUCAACUGGAGAAUUGCCUUCGA